rnacentral:tRNA from 1 species
GCGUCGGUGGUACAACGGUUAGGAUGUUCGCCUACCAUGCAUAUGGUUCGGGGUUCGAUUCCGGCCGACGCA